GUUGCAAACAAAGAGAGAGAAAUGAGGUCUACCGCAGAACUACACCUGGAAGGCAGAUGUAAACUGGACAUUGCAUCAGGAUGGGGAGGUCUGGGGAUUGUGGGGGUUUCCUGACUGAACCAAAUAUCCAGGCAUCCUCUUGACACUCGCUUGACACAAACACACACUAAAGCAUAAAACACAGGGAGCGGGUUCACCAGAUGUUGAGGAGUAUUUUGGAAAGCAAGUCUUUAUUGACGACAUCACCAUUCUACAACACUCUGCCUCUGGUCCCUUCAGCAGCACUCUGGAAUCAGGAAACAUCAGCGCAACAUAUAUAUGCUCCAUUCGUGUCUCCCGCUUCGCUGCCCGCUCCAGUCACACCAUUAAACUCUUCCACCUGCCCACGCUGCCGCUUCCUGCACCUUCCCUGUUCCAAUGGACCACCAUCACCCCUCGGAUAUCCUACCCCGUGACCUAUUACUUA